AACAUGGAUUUAACGAUGACCACCACUUAGUUUUGUGUGAAACCGCUCAGUGAACUACAUCUCUCGUCUCGCACAAUAUACGUCACCUUGCUUGCUAGCUAGCUAGCUUAGCUCUGUUCCACAACACGUAAUGUUA